GCAACUGCAGUUUCUUCCUACGAACUUCAAACGGAGAAGAAAGCAAAAAGGGGGAGAAAAAAAGUUGCAGACUUUCAAUCAGUCCACCAGCAACUCCAAAUUCUUCCAAUCCAAUUCCAUUUCCACCCACAAAAAAUUUCUCACUCACUGGUAUGCUCCCCCCCACACACUUAAAUAAUUAUGCGCCUUUGAUUCUUCGGGAUUUUAUUCCACCCCCAAAAAAAUCAAGUUGUUUGUAAGCUCUCGCCACUAUCCGAUCAUGGCUUGUUUCCCAGCAUUUCCUUCUCCAUUCAUGUCCAAUCUUCUUAUCGUAAGUAUUUUGUAUGCUUAGGGUUUCUGGGCUUACGUUUCUUUUUUCAUUUCUUAAUCCCGUCGUUUCAUACUGUUCGUCCGUAUUUAGGGUUUUGAAAAAUUGAUCAGAUCUUCUGAUGCUACGUACUGUUGAAUUGAAUUGGGUAAGAGUUUCUUCCCCUUGGGUUGGAUUGGAUUGGAUGAAUUUGAUUCUGUUUCACUGCUGCGAUGUUUCUGUUGUUUAUCUCUGGCUUUAGGGUUCAGUCAACUGUGCUCCAUUUCCUUAAAUUGGUCCGGUCAACUGUAACGUUUGAUUAAUUUGGUGUAAUUGAACUUUCAG
rnacentral:lncRNA from 1 species